rnacentral:rRNA from 1 species
GGAGAGGAAAGUGGANUUCCUAGUGUAGCGGUGAAAUGCGUAGAUAUUAGGAAGAACGCCAGUGGCGAAGGCGACUUUCUGGACGAAAACUGACGCUGAGGCGCGAAAGCCAGGGGAGCGAACGGGAUUAGAUACCCCGGUAGUCCUGNCCGUAAACGAUGGGUACUAGGUGUAGGAGGUACCGACCCCUUCUGUGCCGGAGUUAACGCAAUAAGUACCCCGCCUGGGGAGUACGACCGCAAGGUUGAAACUCAAAGGAAUUGACGGGGGCCCGCACAAGCGGUGGAGUAUGUGGUUUAAUUCGACGCAACGCGAAGAACCUUACCAGGUCUUGACAUUGAUGGACAGAACCAGAGAUGGUUCCUCUUCUUCGGAAGCCAGAAAACAGGUGGUGCACGGUUGUCGCCAGCUCGUGUCGUGAGAUGUUGGGUUAAGUCCCGCAACGAGCGUAACCCCUAUCUUAUGUUGCCAGCACUUUGGGUGGGGACUCAUGAGAGACUGCCGCAGACAAUGCGGAGGAAGGCGGGGAUGACGUCAAAUCAUCAUGCCCCUUAUGACCUGGGCUACACACGUACUACAAUGGGAGUUAAUAGACGGAAGCGAGAUCGCGAGAGGGAGCAAACCCGAGAAACACUCUCUCAGUUCGGAUCGUAGGCUGCAACUCGCCUACGUGAAGUCGGAAUCGCUAGUAAUCGCAGGUCAGCAUACUGCGGUGAAUACGUUCCCGGGCCUUGUACACACCGCCCGUCACACCACGAAAGUCGGAAGUGCCCAAAGCCGGUGGGGUAACCUUCGGGAGCCAGCCGU